rnacentral:lncRNA from 1 species
UGCGCGCAAAAAUCAUUUCGUUUGCGCGCAGCUUUUGAUUACAAUUGCGCGCAUUUUUUUUGACAGGUAAACCCAGGUAAAAUACAGGUAAUAAUACUUAUUUAUUUAUAAUUUGUUCAAUUAUUUACCCUGCUCACCAACGAUGAGGUGGAAGUGGGAUUUCGAGCAAGAUAAUUCCGUUUUAUUUUGCACAAGCACUUAAUUCUAGAAAUCUAUACAGAUAAAAUUGUUAAAAU